rnacentral:rRNA from 1 species
AUUGAACGCUGGCGGCAGGCCUAACACAUGCAAGUCGAGCGGAUGAAGGGAGCUUGCUCCUGGAUUCAGCGGCGGACGGGUGAGUAAUGCCUAGGAAUCUGCCUGGUAGUGGGGGAUAACGUCCGGAAACGGGCGCUAAUACCGCAUACGUCCUGAGGGAGAAAGUGGGGGAUCUUCGGACCUCACGCUAUCAGAUGAGCCUAGGUCGGAUUAGCUAGUUGGUGGGGUAAAGGCCUACCAAGGCGACGAUCCGUAACUGGUCUGAGAGGAUGAUCAGUCACACUGGAACUGAGACACGGUCCAGACUCCUACGGGAGGCAGCAGUGGGGAAUAUUGGACAAUGGGCGAAAGCCUGGUCCAGCCAUGCCGCGUGUGUGAAGUAGGUCUUCGGAUUGUAAAGCACUUUAAGUUGGGAGGAAGGGCAGUAAGUUAAUACCUUGCUGUUUUGACGUUACCAACAGAAUAAGCACCGGCUAACUUCGUG